rnacentral:lncRNA from 1 species
CUACCAAAUUGUUUUCAAUGAUGCGGCUUCCAAAUCGACGAUCGGCUCCAUUAGACUUGAUCUAUAAUAUUUAAAGUAUUUGGAAAUUAAAUUUCAUUAUUUUUCGGCAUCAUUUACCCAUCAAACGAGUAGUCUAAAAAUGAACGGCUGAAAAUAAAAAUCUCAUAAAAAAUAACGAUAAAAGACUUGAAUUUAAGAUCAGAGGUACUGAUCCUUCUCUAAAUAGUAAAAAAAAUUUUCUAUAAAAAUUUCAUUAGAUUUGAAUUG